CUCUCUCUCCCUUUAACCCCUCCCUUUGUCUAUCUUUACCCAAAUUCCCUCUUUCUCAACCAAACAAAAUCUAUGCAUCUUUCUCUACCUCUCUCACUUCUCUCAGAUUUGAGAUUUUCUUUCUUUUUUUCUUGGAAAAACACCCAUGCAUCAGAUUUGAGAAACACCAAUGCCUUCACAUCUCUCUCUAUCUCAAUCGAUCCGUCUCUCCCUCUCGUUGCAUCUCACGCUCAGAUCCCAACUGUCUGUCGUUUGAGAAAGAACUUGAAGAAAUGUAGGAGAAGCUUCAGGCAAUGAGGCUUUAGAAGGAGAAACCGAGAAGCUCCUUAAGAAGGAGGAGAUCUUGAAGAUCAAGAAGGAAAAGCUCCAAACAAAGGGCUAAGAGCAAGACAAGCUUCAGAUGGAGUUGAAGAAGCUGCAGGAGUUCAAACUUGUCGAGUUGGUGAAGCCUGAGAUCGGAUCUAAGAUUCUAAGGAAGCACCAUCGUCUUCACUGUUCCUCAGAUCAAUGCCAUAAAGAGUGCAACAAAGACAUAAUCCAAUCUAUAAAGUUGUUUGUUUACAUUCUUUGAUCAGGAGCUGCUAAUCAGUUAUUAACACAACUUUAUAGUGUUGGGUAUUUAUGGACUUAUCAUUGUUGUGAUCAUCAGUACCUGUAUGGCUAUCUAGCUUGUGGCCUUGCUAGUCUCUUUACCGGUAUGGCUAUCGGCAGUGUCGAUGAUGUCGGUGUUAGGUAAUAUCUCUCUCUCUUUGAAAGGAUUGGCCUUGCUCUUGCUAAGGGUGUAGAUAUCAUAUCUCUUCAAUUGUUUCUUAAUUUAUUUUUUGCAAUUGCUCAUUUGAUAAAUUAUUUAGCUACAUAUAUCGGAGUCAUGAUAUGAUGGCCAUUUUCAGGUGAACAUUUUUUAGUAUUAUUUUAGAUAGUAUACAAUACCAAAUAAUGUAUUGAAAUUUGAUAUUCUGAGUUGUAUUUGUCAGAUUGUAAAUUAGCAUGAAGCUACAAGUAGCAACAUUGUCAGGCACAAUGAGUUUAAUCUUCAAACACUUGGAAUUGGUGGCCUAGGUGCUGAGUUUGCAGAUAUAUUUUGAAGAGCUUUUGCAUCCCAUGUUUCCCUCCUCAUGUGACAAAUAAGUAAGAUAACUGAUUCUUCUAGUUGCACUGAUAUCUUUUUGGUAUAACUUUAUACCACACUCCUUACUAGAAAUACUUUGAUCUUCCAGAUAAGGGAUCAAGCAUGUAAAGGGUAUGCUGGGCCACCUGGUACUUUAAAAAUUCUCAUGGCUUGUCAAAUUGGAAAGAUGUUGAACAAGAAAGAACCAAAGAUUUGGAGUUUGAUCCACCUUUUUCUUUAAUUAUUAAAUUUCUGAGAGUUCCAAAUCUCUUAGGACUAAGAUUUGUUCUGUUCAUUUGAAUGAUUACUUUUCUAUGUUUCAGCUGUAAUUUCAAAUAAGACUUACCAAUUGAUGACACAUGAAACUAAGAUAAAAUUAAGAACUAGAUACUCAUUGUCACAAUCUUGUAUUCUUAUUUUUCAUAACAGGCUAGGUAAUGAAUCGAUUAAAUUCUGCCAGCUGUAAACAUUGAACCAUGCCGAAUCAUGAUUUAACACAACAUUUUGAUGCUAGUACAUUAUUGUAACAAAGCUAUUUGAGCAUGUUUGAAUGAUUCUGGAUAUGCAACUUAUCCUUAGAUAAGUUAGUUAUUAUCUGCAUUGGUGAUUGAUGAGAUUUCUAUUUUUGUGAACUGUGCUAGAUUGUUAAUGGCCAUGAAGUUUUGAGCAAGUUGGUGAAACUGAGAAAAAUGUUAGGAAUCUAUCUGCUAAUGCUGAGAAUGAUCAAAGGGCUCGCG